GUUGGAUGUUUAACGCUCAGUGGCAGGAAUUUAAAUCAAUGCAUAUCACGACAAUAUUAGCAUUUAGUUUCCCUUUGUUAAAGGAUUGAUAAGUUAUUGAGAUGAUAAAACUUUAGUAUAUUUCAUUUAUUAUAUCAACACGUCUUUGCACUAACCCAGCACAAAGUUCUACAACACAUGACAGUUGCCAUCUUGGGUGACGGUACAAGGAACCAAUGACCCUAAAUGUUUUCAAUUCUUUCAUGACAUGCUCAACAUAAACACGCCUGCUCUUGUGUAGUCUAUUAAAUUUUCUCAUCCUCCUUUUUUCUCUCGCAUCUGCCCGAAAUUUUUCGGCAGCCUUAUAUGGCACGAUAAGAAGGGGAGUGUGUGGGUAUAUGCUGUCUCCUAAAAUAAAGUACCCCGCUGGAAAGUCUAAAGGUAAACCAGGUCCAAUUGGUCCGAGUUGCUGAUAUGCAUGAGCGUCAAUUACAUGUCCAAGAAAG
rnacentral:lncRNA from 1 species